CGUCGAAAUAUGACGCGCCACUUUUUAGAAAGUCAUCUAUAUAUUCUAGAAGUUUUCUAGUCCUAUCAUUCUUAACCGUCUUAAUAUUCUGAAUCUAAAUACUGGCCUUGUAGGGAAUCGCACUUCAUCUAUAAUAGUCGUUAGUCAGGAGGCCGUGUUUUAUCCAUUAUAUUACUUCUGCUUAGUCGAGAUUUAUCUCAUAUUUUUAGUUACUAUUAGAGAUAAUCGCCAGUAAAAUGUAUAAGAUGAAUCUCGACUGAGCAAAAAUUAUAUAACAGGCAGAGCACAGCUUCUUAAUUAAUUAAUGACUGUUUAC
rnacentral:lncRNA from 1 species